rnacentral:rRNA from 1 species
CGGCAGCGCGGGGCAACCUGGCGGCGAGUGGCGAACGGGUGAGUAAUAUAUCGGAACGUACCCUGGAGUGGGGGAUAACGUAGCGAAAGUUACGCUAAUACCGCAUACGAUCUAAGGAUGAAAGUGGGGGAUUCGCAAGAACCUCAUGCUCCUGGAGCGGCCGAUAUCUGAUUAGCUAGUUGGUAGGGUAAAAGCCUACCAAGGCAUCGAUCAGUAGCUGGUCUGAGAGGACGACCAGCCACACUGGAACUGAGACACGGUCCAGACUCCUACGGGAGGCAGCAGUGGGGAAUUUUGGACAAUGGGCGCAAGCCUGAUCCAGCAAUGCCGCGUGAGUGAAGAAGGCCUUCGGGUUGUAAAGCUCUUUUGUCAGGGAAGAAACGGUGAUCUCUAAUAUAGGUUGCUAAUGACGGUACCUGAAGAAUAAGCACCGGCUAACUACGUGCCAGCAGCCGCGGUAAUACGUAGGGUGCAAGCGUUAAUCGGAAUUACUGGGCGUAAAGCGUGCGCAGGCGGUUUUGUAAGACUGUCGUGGAAUCCCCGGGCUCAACCUGGGAAUGGCGAUGGUGACUGCAAGGCUAGAGUUUGGCAGAGGGGGGUAGAAUUCCACGUGUAGCAGUGAAAUGCGUAGAUAUGUGGAGGAACACCGAUGGCGAA